rnacentral:lncRNA from 1 species
CAGACUGUUCAGGUGAUAAGCAUAAGCAGGAAUCAGCCCUCCCCGAGGACUGGUGUCCAGACUGAGAUGUCCGUGUGCCCUCCGCUGCUUUGUCAAUGUUGGCACCACGUGGCUUUGGGGUGCAGGGCUGGACACCCCCACAGCCACCCUCCACUCCUGUUUCGGGGCUCUGGGGCUGCAGGCCGGCCGUUUGACAAAGCCAGAGCCCCUGGCCGCAGCCCGCAGUUCUCUCCAAGUACAGUUUCGGGGAGUUUUUCACAAUGAUUCAUCUCAUGCAGUUGAUUGUUUUAAAGACACGAGCCGUCGCCGGAGAUUCCCUCUGAUUCUUAACCUCAGUCUUGCCUGAGGCGAUUUGACAAUUCAGAGCACCGCUCACUGGGAGCCCCGGGAGAGCAUGGGGAACAUGGCUUUGCGGUCCAAGGCCGGUGCGAACAUCUCGAGAUCUCUGUCAUCCUGCCAAGGCAACUCGGAUACUGAGCACGGCAAGUGUGCGCCACGUUCCCCUCUGCAGCCGUGGUCCCUGACCUUUAGGGGAAGGUCUUCAAAGUGUUCCCACAACCAGCCCGGCAACCCUGCUGGUGCAGCCACCUCGGGUCUGAGAUCCGGGGCCGGAGUAACCACGCAGGAUGGGAAAGGGCGUGGGACAGCGUCUGGGGCAGCUUCUCUGCUAAUUAGCAAGACGAGCCCGUGAGACCGCCUGACAGAUACACGCUUGACGUUUUUGAAUAAAA